rnacentral:lncRNA from 1 species
CUUGAUCUCACAUCUUUUCUCUGGGUCUGAAAAGAAAAAGAUAGAAAAAAAAAUUAAAUGUUGCCACUUGUCCUGAGCUGGAAAAAUGGCUAACAGCUGAACUGUUCUAACAGAAUGGGAAGACAGAUGGACAAAUGACCUCCUGGUGCUGAGAGAGGGAAGGAGGCAGCUGCCUGUGGAUCCACUGUGCUGGGGCUAGCCCCAGAGGAGGGGGCUCACACUGCUGGGAGGUCCUUUCCAGGCUGUGUGGCUGCAGGUAAGUGGCUACCUGCUCUGAGGCUCUGCCUGGUUUUCUCUCUCUAAACAGGGCUCCAGCCUCCCCUUCUCCCGAGGGACAUGGCAGGUCUCUCAGCAAGCUUGGCCUCAUGUUAUGUGUGGGCUCAGCCCCUCACACACAGGCAUUCCCUGAACCAACUAGUAGGCUGUGUGCAUACAGCAGAGAGUGCUCGGCCUUUGGCUCCUCCGGGUACACUCCUGCUGCUGCUGGACAGGCUACGUCUGAAGCUUGUCCUCCCCACUUCCUGUGUGAGA